rnacentral:misc_RNA from 1 species
AAGUCGUAACAAGGUCUCCGUUGGUGAACCAGCGGAGGGAUCAUUACCGAGUUUACAACUCCCAAACCCCUGUGAACAUACCAUAUUGUUGCCUCGGCGGUGCCUGUUUCGGCAGCCCGCCAGAGGACCCAAACCCUAGAUUACAUUAAAGUAUCUUCUGAGUCAAUGAUUAAAUCAAUCAAAACUUUCAACAACGGAUCUCUUGGUUCUG